rnacentral:lncRNA from 1 species
UUCUUGGAGGGCCCUAAGGACUGUUCCAAUAUUUUGGCAGCAAUGAGAAUUACCUGAUGGCUGGUUCAACAUAAAGAAUGUAUUUUUUUUCCUUUUCUGUACCUCAAAGAAGCUAUGAAAAUCUUACUUGACUUCUGAGUCUUCAGAGUAGAUUUAAAGGCAGAUAGACAACAAGGGAGACAUGGGGGCAUGUAACCUGGUGACCUCCAACCAAGUGGCUACAAGAUUGUCAGUCAUAUAUCCCAGCACCUGGCAUGCUUCCCCAUGUAAAUAGAGCGCCAUCGUGACCUUAAGCCUUCAGCCAAUGACGUUUGUCCACCCGGGAUAUUCCCACUCCCUCCCCCAAACUAUAUAACCCUUGGUUCACGUCAAAUAAAGCGUCUGUGCCUAAGUCCACCCUAAGUAUGAGAGAUAAAAAUACAAUAAAAAAAAAUCUCACAUCAGUAACAGAAUGUGCAGAUA